GCGGCAGCUUACCAUGCAAGUCGAGCGGUAACAGGGGGUGCUUGCACCCCGCUGACGAGCGGCGGACGGGUGAGUAAUGCAUAGGAAUCUGCCCAGUAGUGGGGGAUAGCCCGGGGAAACCCGGAUUAAUACCGCAUACGCCCUUUGGGGGAAAGCAGGGGAUCUUCGGACCUUGCGCUAUUGGAUGAGCCUAUGUCGGAUUAGCUAGUUGGUGGGGUAAAGGCCUACCAAGGCGACGAUCCGUAGCUGGUCUGAGAGGAUGAUCAGCCACAUCGGGACUGAGACACGGCCCGAACUCCUACGGGAGGCAGCAGUGGGGAAUAUUGGACAAUGGGGGCAACCCUGAUCCAGCCAUGCCGCGUGUGUGAAGAAGGCUUUCGGGUUGUAAAGCACUUUCAGUGAGGAGGAAAACCUUCUGGUUAAUACCCAUGAGGCUUGACGUUACUCACAGAAGAAGCACCGGCUAACUCCGUGCCAGCAGCCGCGGUAAUACGGAGGGUGCAAGCGUUAAUCGGAAUUACUGGGCGUAAAGCGCGCGUAGGUGGUUUGAUAAGCGAGAUGUGAAAGCCCCGGGCUUAACCUGGGAACGGCAUUUC
rnacentral:rRNA from 1 species